rnacentral:rRNA from 1 species
UGCAGAAUCCCGUGAAUCAUCGAGUUUUUGAACGCAAGUUGCGCCCGAUGUCAUUCGGCAAAGGGCACGCCUGCCUGGGCGUCACGUCUUGCGUCGCUCGGUGCCAACUAUGCCCGUGGGUCAAAAGUGUUGGCACGGAUGUGGAGAUUGGCCUCUCGUGUCCUUGUGCGCGCGGUAGGCUGAAGAGUGGGAUGCCAACGUAGACGGACACGGCGAGUGGUGGAUGCGAGCCGGACGUCGUGGUCUCGUCCUCUAAAGGCUCGGGGGCCCCUUAUGACACCCAACAUGGUUGCGCUGUACGUGUUGCCUAGCAUUGCGACCCCAGGUCAGGCGGGAACACCCGCUGAAUUUAAGCAUAUCAAUAAGCGGAGGAGAAGAAACUUACGAGGAUUCCCUUAGUAACGGCGAGCGAACCGGGACAUGCCCACCUUGAGAAUCGGGCGGCUUUGUCGUUCGA